rnacentral:pre_miRNA from 1 species
AUAAUGUUUUGAUUUUUCGUUUUAUUUAAAAAUUUUUUGUAAUUAAUAUUUUUAUUCUUAUUAGACAAUAAAACAUGAAUUAUUUUAUGCGUGACUAUUUUUUUUAAGUUUUUGUGCAAAUUUUUUAAAUAAGACGAAUGGUCAAACGUUGGCAGAAAAAAUGA